rnacentral:rRNA from 1 species
UACGGAGGGUGCAAGCAUUGAUCGGAUUUAUUGGGCGUAAAGGGCGCGUAGGCGGCCAGGUAAGUCAAAUGUGAAAUUCCACGGCUCAACCGUGGCGCUGCAUUUGAAACUGUCUGGCUUGAGCAUAGUUAGGGAAAACGGAAUUCCACGUGUAGCGGUGAAAUGCGUAGAUAUGUGGAAGAACACCGGUGGUGAAGACGGUUUUCUGGGCUAUAGCUGACGCUGAGGCGCGAAAGCUAGGGGAG